rnacentral:lncRNA from 1 species
CGUCUCCGUCGUCGAAUUAGGGUUAUGGAGCAUUACCGUACAAAUCAGAACAAGUAACAUUAAUAUAGAAUAAUUAUGCAAGCUUAAAAUGCAUCAAUAACAAUUCCUUUUAAUUAUGGUAAAAACAUACUUACGAGCCUUAAACCGAGCUUACUGGAACCUAAAAACAUUUUGGGAAUGUAAUAGCCUAAAUUUGCCCAGCCCACAUACAGUUUAAAAAUUUAAAAAAAAAACAAAAACCAAAUUAAAGAAAAUAGUCCAUAAAGUCUGGUUACAAUAAAGCCUAAGCCAAUACAAUAGGCCUAAUUUCUAAAUACCCACCAAAACUCACCAACCCUAGCCCGAAUACCCCAUCUAGCCCAACUAUCAUGGCCCAAUGCAGCCCAACAUAACCAAAAACCCUAGCACCAAACAACUUUCAGCGCCGUCAAACCCAUGGCCUUUUCCGCGCGUGUUGCGCCUCUGCGCGCGUGCGUCUCCUCCACGCGCGAUGCCUUCACACGCCUCCACAUCCAC